rnacentral:lncRNA from 1 species
GGACCGGACAAGAUGGUAGUUGAUCUGACAGACCCCAACCGGCCCCGCUUUACCCUGCAAGAGCUGAGGGACGUUCUGCAGGAACGCAACAAGCUCAAGUCGCAGCUGCUGCUGGUGCAGGAGGAACUGCAGUGCUACAGGAGAGAAACUCCAGGAGGAAGAAGAGAGAAAGACGCUAUGGUUACCAUGGGCAACGGCGAGAAGGAGGAGAGGACCAUUAUGAAGAAGCUGUUCUCUUUCCGGUCAGGGAAGCACACCUAGAUUGAAGGCCAUUGCCAAGAUGGCGACCCUCUCGACUUGAGAAGAUAAUUGCCAAUAUGUCUUCUGGAACCAUCUUUCUGUGCUUUGGAGCUUUGCCCUCAGAGCAAAGUCAAAGGAAGAUGCUCUCAUGGCUCACCUGCUCCCCGGGGACAGAACUGGAUAGGCAGUAAGCUUUGGCCAGGACAAGUGAGGCAUGAUCAGGAACUUGAGAAAGCAAAGGAACACUGAGCGUGGCCUCCACUCAUGGACAGAGGCCUCUGGCCCGCAGAUUGUUCCUGCCUCAGCGGUAAUCCGGUCAGAGCAAGAUGGAAAAGUAGGAAAGUAUGGAAUCGCUUUUACUGAUAUUUGGUGAAUACUUGAUUUCUCUCACUCAACUUUCUUUAUAUGACUUUUGUAUUAAAAUGAAAAGACCUUUAGAGUUUCUAUUA